AAAAAUUUACAAAAAUAACUGAAAUACAAAAUAUACAAAAAUAUAAAUACAAAAAAAAUUUACAAAAAUAACUGAAAUACAAAAUAUACAAAAAUACAAAUACAAAAAAUACAAAAAUUAACUGAAAACGAAUGAUGGGUUUAAAUUUAAGACCUACGGGGUGGCUGGGUGGCACAUUCUGUUAAGCAUCAGACUGUUGAUAUUGGCUCAGGUCAUGAUCUCACAGUUCGUGAGACUGAGCCCCAUGUUGGGCUCUGCACUGACAGCAUGGAGCCUGCUUGGGAUUCUUUCUCUCCCCCUCUCUCUCUGCCCCACCCCUGCUCAUGCAUGCAUGCUCUCUCUCAAAAUAAAUAAAUAAACUAAAAAAUAUAAGGCCUAAAAUUAUAUAACUCUAGAAAAAACACAGGAGUAAAUGUGACCUUGGGCUAGGCAAAGAUUGCUUAGAUGCAACAACAAAAGCAUGAUCCAUAAAAGAAUAUACUAAUAAAUUGCAGUUUAUCAAAACUAAAAAUUCUGUUCUUCAAGAGAUACUAUCAAGAAAAUGAUGAAUAAAAGCUAUGGACUGGGACAAAAUAUUUUCAAAUCACAUAACUGACAGAAAACCUUCAAUUUGAUGAAACAAAAUCUCAAUUAAAAAAAUUUUUUUUAAGGUUUGUUCAUUUCUCAGAGACAGAGAGACAGACCAUGAGCAGGGGAGGGGCAGAGAGAGAGGGAGACACAGAAUUUAAAACAGGCUCCAGGGUCUGAGCUGUCAGCACAGAGCCCAAUGCGGGGCUCGAACUCACGGACUGCAAUAUUAUGACCUGAGCUGAAGUCGGACGCUUAACUGACUGAGCCACCCAGAUGCCCCCAAAAAUCUCGAUUUUAAAGGUGAGCUGAAGACUGGAUUAGAUGGAUUCUUCAUUGAAGGAGAUAUACAGGUAGCAGCACAUGAAGAGAUGUGUGACAUCAUUAGUCAUUAGGGAAAUGGAAAUGAAAACCACAAUGGCAUACCAUCAUAUAUCCGCAAAAUGGCCAAAAUUGAAAGACCAACCAUACUAGCGGUUGGCAAGGAUGUGGAGCAGCUGGAACUCUCAUACUACUGAUGGGAAUUUAAAACAGUACAACUAUUUUGGCUAUUCUUUAAAAUGCUAACCAUACGCCUACUGUAUAUCCUAGCCAUACCCCUCAUAGGUAUCACAGUGUUGACCAGUUGCAUCAGCCUCACCUAGGAACUUGUGGAAAUGCUAAUUCUCAGGCCCCACUCUACCUGCUGACGUUUGAGAACUGCUGCCGUGGGGCAAGGACACUGACUUUGAGGACUCCCCCUGUGUGUUACUUUUACUUUUCAUAGCAAUCCUGUGAGACAGAGGAAUUGUAUUCUACCCGACAGAGGACGAAACUACGGCUCAGAGGGGUCACCUCACUCUAGUUCCCUCCACUGGGCAGGUCUGGAGUAGUUUGGACCACUCUCAGGUUUGUGCACCUUGUAAGCUUGGUGCUUCCCAAAUUAUUGCCUCCUUUCCUCCCACAGCCCUUCCUAGCGCUUCAUUCAUCAGGCCACUUGUCAAGGUCUGAGCAAACAAAGGCAACGGGAUGUGCGUGAGGUGAGGCAGGAAGAUGACAAUAGUUCUCUGAAGGAGAACAGGGCACAGUCUCUACCCUUCCCCAUGAACUGCCUGGUGUCACUGCUGACAACAGCACUGUGUUUAUUUACUUCCUCCUGUUUUCUAUCCAGAGGACGGGGCCCAGAGAGGGUUUCUCCUGCCCUGGUUGGGGGCAGGCAUGCAGUGAGCCCUCCAGGAAUUAGGACCCAGCUGGGAAGGGAAGACUCACCCGUGUGAAGCAAGGAGAGGGAGGCCACAAAGUCAAUGCUGAAACAGACACUAGAUAAAGGCUCCUGCCCGUGUUUUCCCUUCACUUCCUCUGCUUCCUGCCCGACCUUGGUGUCUCCCGAUGCAGCCCUGCAUGAGAUUCCAUGCCUCUGGGAUCUAGGGAUCAGGACAUGCUUGAGGACUGACCAGGGCAUGGAGCUUUGGGUCACUGGCACCUGGCAUAGUGCACGGGGCAGUCAGUGCCGACUGGUGUGAAUGGAAAGAACACAGAGGUGGGUGUCAGGUGAUGACGAUCCAUGUAGCUUUCCAGUCAGUGUGCAGUGUUUUCUGUCUUACCCCAUUCUGUCCUCCCUCAGACCCUCUAAGGGAGGUAGCUGUUAUUCCCACUUUACAGAUGAGAAGACUGAGGCUCGGGGAAGGGAAGGCAUUUGCCCAGCAGUCUGACCCAGGGGCUGCCUUCUGUGGAGUCUGCCACUGUCACAUUCACAAGUUUCAUUUGUCAUGUGACCGAGACUUCCUCACCUGUCAGCCUCCUCCUCAUGGCCGCUGGCUGCAUUCCAGCUCCUGAGCAAUGUGACAAAUGCCAACAGAGCCUCUCAGAGGUGAGAGCAGAGGGCUGAGGACUGGGAGGCACCGGCUGACUCCUGACCUUGCUGUGCUCCCAGCUUGAGGGAGGAGGAAGGAUACUCUCAGAGGUGACCCUUGUCGCCCUUCCCCUCUGUGUCACAAACAGCUCUCCAGAAGCCCCGAUUCAUAGCAUUUGCCAGUUUCCAUGGUGCAAGAACUCCCACAGUAUGGAGUUAGCUACCUCUGUGUGGACCAAAUGUUUGCAUCCCCACUGGACCCCCCAAAUUCCCAUGUUGAAGCCCUAAGCACCAGUAGGGCUGUAUUCAGAGGUGGGGCCCCUAAGGAAAUAACCAAGGUUAAUGAGUCAUGGGGGUGGAGGGCUGAUCCUAUAGGACUAGUGUCCUUACAGAAAGUGGCGUCAGAGUGCUGCUGUCUCUGUCUCCACACGCACCUGCUGAGGGAAGGCCUUGUGAACACAUAGCAAGAUGGCGCCGCCUACAAGCUACAGGCGGUGACCUCAGGACACAACCUACCCUGCCAAACCUUGAUCUUGGACUUCCCGCACUCCAGAACUGAGAGAAAUUCCUGCUAUUUAAGUCACCCGGUCUGUGGCAUUUCAUCAUGGCAGCCCGAGCAGACUAAUACGACUCCCGAUGUGAAGUCACUGAAUUUGAGCCAAGAAGAAAUGCACAGCGGCAGGUGCUUCUACGUUAUUCCCACCAUGAAGAUGCAACAGCAUAAAUAACGUCAAGAGCAUAGAUAAUAGUAAUACGUGGUAAACUAUGGAGGCAGAGAUGAGCUUUCUUCCUUUUUAAUAUAAUUUAUUGUAAGGUUGUAUUUUUCUUUUUUUUUUAGGUUUAUGUAUGUAUGUAUUUAUUUAUUUACAGUGCUGGGGGGGAGGGGCAGAGAGAGAGGGAGAGAGAGAGAAUCUCAUUAGGCUCCACACAGUUAGCAGUGUGGAACCCCAUACGGGGCUCAAACUCAUGAAUUUUGAGAUCAUGACCUGAGCGGAAACCAUGAGUUGGAGGCGUAACUGACUGAGCUACUCAGGUGCCCCAGGUUAUAUUUUUUUCUUGAUUAAAAAUUAAGGAAACAUUUUUAAAUGUUUAUUUUUGAGAGAGAGAGAGAGAGCACGAGUGGAAGAGGGGCAGAGAUAGAGAGAGGGGGACACAGAAUCCGAAGCAGGCUCCAGGCUCUGAGCUGUUAGCACAGAGCCUGACUCAGGGCUCAAACUCAUGAACCGUGAGAUCAUGACCUGGGCCAAAGUUGGCGGCUUAAGUGACUGAGCCACCCAGGCACCCCUUGAUUAAAAAUGUUUUAUUGUGUUAAUGCAUACUUAACAAAAACUUACCAUUUUAGCCAUUUUUAAGUAUACAGUUCAGUGGCAUUAGGUACAUUUAUAUUGUUGUACACAUAUUUAAUAUUUAAUAGUGGCUGUGUUGAGAAAGGGCUCACAACAUUCCCCCAAAUUAACAAUCAGCUCCAGUACGUUUCCCUCUGUGGGAUCCCCUUUAUCCAUGGUCAUCAGGCGGCUUAGCAAAUUCAGAAGAAAAAGCCAGGAAAUACUUUUGUUGAUGUGCAUUUCACAGAAUUCAAAUUUAAGAUGAAUUAUGAUGGACACAUAGUCCUCCUCUUUUUUUUCCUUCCUUUAUUUGAAAUAUGUUUUCAGUGGCCUGAGCUGAGCACAUUCUUACAAGGCCUGAACUGGCCAACGGAUCUCAGCUGAGGCGACACUUUGGUUCAUGUCGGCCUCAAACUUCAUGUCAUUCACUGCGUGUCACUGGCCCCUGGUACUGAUGUGUUUUUGGUUUGAAAGAGCAGACAUUUAUUCCCUCACAACUCUGGAGGCCAGAAGUCCAAAGUCAAGGUGUGGACGGGUUGUGCCCCCUCUGAAGGCUCUAGGGAAGGAUCCUUCCCGCCUCUCCCAGUUUCUGGAGCUCAAAGCAGGCUUCGGGGUCCUGGGCCCGUUGAGGCACCACACAGUCUCUCCCUCCCAUGUCUGCCUUCCAGCGUGACGAUUGGCUUCCCUAUAUUCCCUGUUCAGAUGCAGAGUGGCUGCUGGCCCUGGUGGCCCUGGUCUUUCACUGGAGCAUAAUUACUGUGAUAAAGUGGUUACCAGUGCAUCUUGGACAACACAAGCUGGGAUGAGGGUGAGACCCGGGAGACCCGAGAGAGGGAGUUUGCAUCUGAGAAGAGUGAGUGUGGGUGGUGACCCCCAUAAGGACUCCAGGUGGAAAAGGCUUCUUCAGAGUCCAGGGGUGAUAACUGCAAUCUGGGUUUCCAGGCACACAGCCUGCCACUGGCCUUUAUUAACCUGUGGUCUCUGUAGAAACAUAAUUAUUCAGGGCCAGCAAGAGGCAAUAUUUCUCCAUACAAACUGGUGAAUUUUGUUUCCAAAGGCAGAGAAGGGGGAGCAUCUCUCUACUUGCUGGAUAAGAUGCUGUCUGAUUCAUGACUUGCUUCAUAAAGCCAAUUUUGGGCGGGGAAGACACCAAAAUCAGGCGGUGUUACUUAGAGUUAGGCUUCCUGUAGCAAAGCCGGGCACAAGCCCUCCUGUAGGACCGAGGGGCCCGUCCCCCCUGCCCCCCGCCCCCCCUGGACAGAGCACUGGUCACUCCCUGCUCUUCCCGGAGUGAUGGAUUGACAUGGGAGCAGGGGCAGGAUCCUGAUCUGGGGAGGGAGGAGAGUGAGGUCACGUGGGUGCGUCUCCAGUCCUGGGGGGCAUCAAGGGUGCACCCCACAGGGCUGUGGCCAGAUUCACUGUGGGCUGGCUUCCUUACUUUUGGAUGGUGGGUUUGCUUCUAUCACUUGUGAGACCCCGGCCAGAGCACAGCCAGAGCACUGUUCCUCAUGUCCAAAUAUUUAAGUUAUCAUAAUCUGCCAAAUUAUUGUCUCUCUGCCCUGAGAAGUAUACCUUCAUAAUACAAAACUGAGAAAUGUGUUUUUAUACAGAUGAAAGUUAGCAAAACAAAGACAACUGAAUUGAUCGUUAUUACAGGAGCCUGCAUGUUCUAUUUUGGCUUGGCGAUAUUUGCAGAACUUUUAAAGACACGUGGAAUUCUGUAUUAUAUAUAUUUGUAUUGUAUAUUUA